rnacentral:tRNA from 1 species
GCUCCCAUAGCUCAGCUGGUUAGAGCGUCGUGCUAAUAACGCGAAGGCCGCAGGUUCGACCCCUGCCUUGGAGCA